rnacentral:rRNA from 1 species
GGCAGCCGCCGCGGUAACACGGCGGCCCGAGUGGUGAUCGUGAUUAUUGGGUCUAAAGGGUCCGUAGCCGGUUUGGUCAGUCCUCCGGGAAAUCUGAUAGCUCAACUAUAGGCUUCGGGGGAUACUGCCAGACUUGGAACCGGGAGAGGUAAGAGGUACUACAGGGGUAGGAGUGAAAUCUUGUAAUCCCUGUGGGACCACCUGUGGCGAAGGCGUCUUACCAGAACGGGUUCGACGGUGAGGACGAAAGCUGGGGGCACGAACCGGAUUAGAUACCCGGGUAGUCCCAGCCGUAAACGAUGCUCGCUAGGUGUCAGGCAUGGCGCGACCGUGUCUGGUGCCGCAGGGAAGCCGUGAAGCGAGCCACCUGGGAAGUACGGCCGCAAGGCUGAAACUUAAAGGAAUUGGGCGGGGGAGCACAACAACGGGUGGAGCCCUGCGGUUUAAUUGGACUCAACGCCGGACAACUCACCGGGGCGACAGCAAUAUGUAGGCCAAGCUGAAGACUUUGCCUGAAUCGCUGAGAAGUGGUGCAUGG